GGAAACGGGGUCUAAUACCGGAUAAUACUUUCCUCUGCAUGGGGGAGGGUUAAAAGCUCCGGCGGUGCAGGAUGAGCCCGCGGCCUAUCAGCUUGUUGGUGGGGUGAUGGCCUACCAAGGCGACGACGGGUAGCCGGCCUGAGAGGGCGACCGGCCACACUGGGACUGAGACACGGCCCAGACUCCUACGGGAGGCAGCAGUGGGGAAUAUUGCACAAUGGGCGAAAGCCUGAUGCAGCGACGCCGCGUGAGGGAUGACGGCCUUCGGGUUGUAAACCUCUUUCAGCAGGGAAGAAGCGAAAGUGACGGUACCUGCAGAAGAAGCGCCGGCUAACUACGUGCCAGCAGCCGCGGUAAUACGUAGGGCGCAAGCGUUGUCCGGAAUUAUUGGGCGUAAAGAGCUCGUAGGCGGUUUGUCACGUCGGAUGUGAAAGCCCGGGGCUUAACCCCGGGUCUGCAUUCGAUACGGGCAGACUAGAGUGUGGUAGGGGAGAUCGGAAUUCCUGGUGUAGCGGUGAAAUGCGCAGAUAUCAGGAGGAACACCGGUGGCGAAGGCGGAUCUCUGGGCCAUUACUGACGCUGAGGAGCGAAAGCGUGGGGAGCGAACAGGAUUAGAUACCCUGGU
rnacentral:rRNA from 1 species